GGCGGCGUGCCUAAUACAUGCAAGUAGAACGCUGAAGAGAGGAGCUUGCUCUUCUUGGAUGAGUUGCGAACGGGUGAGUAACGCGUAGGUAACCUGCCUUGUAGCGGGGGAUAACUAUUGGAAACGAUAGCUAAUACCGCAUAACAAUGGAUGACACAUGUCAUUUAUUUGAAAGGGGCAAUUGCUCCACUACAAGAUGGACCUGCGUUGUAUUAGCUAGUAGGUGAGGUAACGGCUCACCUAGGCGACGAUACAUAGCCGACCUGAGAGGGUGAUCGGCCACACUGGGACUGAGACACGGCCCAGACUCCUACGGGAGGCAGCAGUAGGGAAUCUUCGGCAAUGGGGGCAACCCUGACCGAGCAACGCCGCGUGAGUGAAGAAGGUUUUCGGAUCGUAAAGCUCUGUUGUAAGUCGAGAACGAGUGUGAGAGUGGAAAGUUCACACUGUGACGGUAGCUUACCAGAAAGGGACGGCUAACUACGUGCCAGCAGCCGCGGUAAUACGUAGGUCCCGAGCGUUGUCCGGAUUUAUUGGGCGUAAAGCGAGCGCAGGCGGUUUGAUAAGUCUGAAGUUAAAGGCUGUGGCUCAACCAUAGUUCGCUUUGGAAACUGUCAAACUUGAGUGCAGAAGGGGAGAGUGGAAUUCCAUGUGUAGCGGUGAAAUGCGUAGAUAUAUGGAGGAACACCGGUGGCGAAAGCGGCUCUCUGGUCUGUAACUGACGCUGAGGCUCGAAAGCGUGGGGAGCGAACAGGAUUAGAUACCCUGGUAGUCCACGCCGUAAACGAUGAGUGCUAGGUGUUGGAUCCUUUCCGGGAUUCAGUGCCGCAGCUAACGCAUUAAGCACUCCGCCUGGGGAGUACGACCGCAAGGUUGAAACUCAAAGGAAUUGACGGGGGCCCGCACAAGCGGUGGAGCAUGUGGUUUAAUUCGAAGCAACGCGAAGAACCUUACCAGGUCUUGACAUCCCGAUGCUAUUUCUAGAGAUAGAAAGUUACUUCGGUACAUCGGUGACAGGUGGUGCAUGGUUGUCGUCAGCUCGUGUCGUGAGAUGUUGGGUUAAGUCCCGCAACGAGCGCAACCCCUAUUGUUAGUUGCCAUCAUUCAGUUGGGCACUCUAGCGAGACUGCCGGUAAUAAACCGGAGGAAGGUGGGGAUGACGUCAAAUCAUCAUGCCCCUUAUGACCUGGGCUACACACGUGCUACAAUGGUUGGUACAACGAGUUGCGAGUCGGUGACGGCAAGCUAAUCUCUUAAAGCCAAUCUCAGUUCGGAUUGUAGGCUGCAACUCGCCUACAUGAAGUCGGAAUCGCUAGUAAUCGCGGAUCAGCACGCCGCGGUGAAUACGUUCCCGGGCCUUGUACACACCGCCCGUCA
rnacentral:rRNA from 1 species